GGGUGUGAUCAUACUAGCAUUAGUGUACUGGAUCCUAUCAGAACUCCGCAGUUAAGCGCUCCGUAGUUAAGCACGCUUGGGCUAGAGUAGUACUGGGGUGGGUGACCUCCCAGGAAGUCCUAGUGUUGCACCCU
rfam:Picea glauca, whole genome shotgun sequence.